rnacentral:sRNA from 1 species
AGAAAGAAAAUGGCCGAAUGAUAAUUUCUGCGCAGUUUUCUAGCGUACCAGUUGAAAGAUGGCUAGUACCUGGGUGACAGUUUUUGCCCCAAUGGUCAGUAGCUGAGGGAAUCACUAAGGAUUUGAGCUGUUACUCUUUCCUGUUCCAUAUAACAGAGAGAAACUAGCAGGUCAUUGCUUGUGAGGAAUACACAAAUAACAAGGGUCAUCUCAAAAGUGAUAAUUUUUCUUCCUCUUUCUGAUGUAAUAAUUUAGGGACUAGAUUUAUUGGAAUGGCUAGCUCAUUUACUUGCACUAUUUAUUACCAUGAUUUUUGGAAUUUUGCAGGUUAUAAAAAACAUUAGUAAUUUUCAUAAAUAAUUAGAUUUGCAGUCAAGCUCUAACAUUGGAAUUAAUAUUACGAUAUUAUGUAGACAUUUAACAACUGAUUUCUGACUGUCUCACUUUCAAUUUUAUAUAUUUUCAUCAAAUCACUGUUCCACCACAAAGAAUAGAUAUUCUAUAUGUAUACUUGAUUGACCACAAAAUAAUAUUUACACAAUGUUUACGUCAAAUUUCAAGGGUAGUUUUCUGGAUAUCAUAUUUCCAGUCAAUACAUUUUUCAUCUUAAUGUUAUAAUACAUGAAUUAAUCAUUUCCAUAAUCUAAAUGUUUCUUUAAAAAAAUUUCUUACAUUUUAUGUGUAAACUAAAGAUGCAACCAGGAACCUUGACCUUUUGCCAAAACUUGUUUACAGUGCUCUCUGGGAGGCAACGGGGUAUAACCAUACACUUCAAUGGGUACAAACCCUUCACAAUAAAAUUCUAAAAUAUCCAGAAAACUGCAUCCUUUCUUCUGAUUAUCAAUUGUAUGUAAAAAGUU